AAAGAAAGCGUAAUAGCUCACUGGUCGAGUCGGCCUGCGCGGAAGAUGUAACGGGGCUAAACCAUGCACCGAAGCUGCGGCAGCGACGCUGAUGCGUUGUUGGGUAGGGGAGCGUUCUGUAAGCCUGUGAAGGUGUGCUGUGAGGCAUGCUGGAGGUAUCAGAAGUGCGAAUGCUGACAUAAGUAACGAUAAAGCGGGUGAAAAGCCCGCUCGCCGGAAGACCAAGGGUUCCUGUCCAACGUUAAUCGGGGCAGG
rnacentral:rRNA from 2 species